GCCCGCCUAGCUCAAUCGGAUAGAGCGUCAGACUCUUAAGGCGGGUUAAUCCCCUCGGAUCAUCUGAAGGCUGCGAGUUCGACCCUCGCGGUGGGCU
rnacentral:tRNA from 1 species